UACAGAGGUCUCAAGCGUUGUUCGGAUUCAUUGGGCGUAAAGGGUGUGUAGGUGGCGCGCUAAGUCGGGUGUGAAAUUUCGGAGCUUAACUCCGAAACUGCAUUCGAUACUGGCGUGCUUGAGGACUGGAGAGGAGACUGGAAUUCAUGGUGUAGCAGUGAAAUGCGUAGAGAUCAUGAGGAAGACCAGUGGCGAAGGCGGGUCUCUGGACAGUUCCUGACGCUGAGCACGAAGGCCAGGGGAGCAAACGGG
rnacentral:rRNA from 1 species